rnacentral:rRNA from 1 species
GCUCAGGAUGAACGCUGGCGGCGUGCCUAAUACAUGCAAGUCGAGCGAACGGACGAGAAGCUUGCUUCUCUGAUGUUAGCGGCGGACGGGUGAGUAACACGUGGAUAACCUACCUAUAAGACUGGGAUAACUUCGGGAAACCGGAGCUAAUACCGGAUAAUAUUUUGAACCGCAUGGUUCAAAAGUGAAAGGCGGUCUUGCUGUCACUUAUAGAUGGAUCCGCGCUGCAUUAGCUAGUUGGUAAGGUAACGGCUUACCAAGGCAACGAUGCAUAGCCGACCUGAGAGGGUGAUCGGCCACACUGGAACUGAGACACGGUCCAGACUCCUACGGGAGGCAGCAGUAGGGAACCUUCCGCAAUGGGCGAAAGCCUGACGGAGCAACGCCGCGUGAGUGAUGAAGGUCUUCGGAUCGUAAAACUCUGUUAUUAGGGAAGAACAUAUGUGUAAGUAACUGUGCACAUCUUGACGGUACCUAAUCAGAAAGCCACGGCUAACUACGUGCCAGCAGCCGCGGUAAUACGUAGGUGGCAAGCGUUAUCCGGAAUUAUUGGGCGUAAAGCGCGCGUAGGCGGUUUUUUAAGUCUGAUGUGAAAGCCCACGGCUCAACCGUGGAGGGUCAUUGGAAACUGGAAAACUUGAGUGCAGAAGAGGAAAGUGGAAUUCCAUGUGUAGCGGUGAAAUGCGCAGAGAUAUGGAGGAACACCAGUGGCGAAGGCGACUUUCUGGUCUGUAACUGACGCUGAUGUGCGAAAGCGUGGGGAUCAAACAGGAUUAGAUACCCUGGUAGUCC